GAGAUGAGAACUUGAUAAAUCAAUGUUUGUCCCCUUCAAUUGUGGAUCAUAUCUUGGGGACGUCUAUCUGCCCGCAACAAGAGAAUGACAUCCUAUGUUAGGAGAGGGGGUUUGAAACAAGAAUCAUAAUGAGUCAGGUAUAUAGAAGUCUAAUGAUGAAUGAGAGUGGAAGUAUGAGUACUCGGGUGGCCAAAAUCUGGAAGGUAAGAGCUCAUACUCAUGUUCUUCAUUUCGUAUGGAAGUUGGUGCUUGGUAAACUUUUGACAGCGACUCUCCC
rnacentral:lncRNA from 1 species